UACGUAGGUGGCGAGCGUUGUCCGGAUUUACUGGGCGUAAAGAGCUCGCAGGCGGUCGUGCAAGUCGCGUGUGAAAGCCCCCGGCUCAACUGGGGAGGGUCACGCGAUACUGCUCGACUCGAAGGCAGGAGAGGGAAGUGGAAUUCCCGGUGUAGUGGUGAAAUGCGUAGAUAUCGGGAGGAACACCAGUGGCGAAGGCGACUUCCUGGCCUGUUCUUGACGCUGAGGCGCGAAAGCUAGGGUAGCAAACGGG
rnacentral:rRNA from 1 species